rnacentral:rRNA from 1 species
AUGCGGGGGGUCGCCGGCGGUGGCGGGGCCCCGGGCCGGCCGCGGUGGGGCGGCGGCUCGGGCGCCACGACGCCGCGCUCGCUCAGCACCGGCUCCUCGCCGCGCGGCUCCGACCGCAGCUCCGACGACGGCGAGGAGCUCGUCGAGGUCACGCUCGACCUGCAGGAGGACGACACCAUUGUGCUGCGCAGCGUCGAGCCGGCCGCCGCCGCAAACGCCAACGCGGCCGCUUCUGCCGCCGCCUCGUCGUCGGGGGCGUCGCCGUCGGUGAUGGGAUGGAGCGCGGAGCCAACGCCACCGCCCGGGGCGGGCCCGUCGCGGUCGCGGUCGCCGGCGAUCCGGCGGACCUCGUCGCACCGGCUGCUGCAGUUCUCGCAGGAGCUCAAGGCCGGGGUGUCCCGCGCCAAGCAAAUCUCGCAGGACCUCACCAAGCGCUUCACGCGCACCCAGAGCCGCGCCGCCCUCGCCGAGCCCCCUCAGCCCCCGCCGGCCGCGCACCCGCCGUCGGGCAUCGAGUCCGCCCUCGCCGCCCGCGCCGAGCGCCGCCAGCGCGCGCAGCUCGACCGCACCAAGUCCACCGCGCAGCGCGCCAUCAAGGGUCUGCGCUUCAUCAGCGGCAACACCAAGGCCAGCAACAACGCCUGGAUCGAGGUCCAGCGCAACUUCGACCGCCUCGCCCUCGACGGCCGCCUCUCCCGCGCCGACUUCCCGCAAUGCAUAGGGAUGAUGGAGUCCAAGGAGUUCGCCAUGGAGCUCUUCGACACGCUGUGCCGGCGGCGGCAGAUGCAGUCGGACCACAUCAACAGGGAGGAGCUGCGCGAGAUCUGGUCGCAGAUCACCGACAACAGCUUUGACUCGCGCCUCCAGAUCUUCUUCGACAUGGUGGACAAGGACGCCGACGGCCACAUCACGGAGGCGGAGGUGAAAGAGAUCAUCAUGCUAAGUGCGUCCGCGAAUAAGCUGGCGAGGCUUAAGGAGCAAGCAGAGGAAUACGCCGCGUUGAUCAUGGAGGAGCUAGACCCCGAAGGCCUCGGCUACAUUGAGCUUUGGCAGUUGGAGACGUUGCUACUGCAGAAGGAUACAUACGUGAACUAUAGCCAGGCCUUGAGCUACACAAGCCAGGCACUGAGCCAGAACCUUGCUGGCCUAAGGCACAAGAGCCCGAUCCGAAAAAUGAGCAGCAAAUUAAGCUAUUAUCUGGAGGACAAUUGGAAACGCCUCUGGGUACUUGCACUGUGGAUUGGGAUAAUGGCUGGAUUGUUCAUUUGGAAAUUUAUCCAGUACCGCAAUCGGUACGUAUUUAGUGUGAUGGGCUACUGUGUAACAAUUGCAAAGGGGGCUGCUGAGACCCUUAAGCUGAACAUGGCACUCAUCCUCCUACCUGUAUGCCGCAACACCAUUACUUGGCUGCGUAAUACAAGAGCUGCACGGGCAUUACCGUUCGAUGACAACAUCAACUUCCAUAAGACUAUUGCGGCGGCAAUUGUGGUUGGUGUUAUCCUUCAUGCAGGAAACCAUCUUGCAUGUGAUUUUCCACGGCUUAUAGAUUCCUCAGAUGAGACGUAUGCUCCACUGCGCCAGUACUUCGGGGAGACCAAGCCAACAUAUUUGGCUUUAGUCAGAGGAGUGGAGGGUGUAACCGGAGUUAUUAUGGUUGUCUGCAUGCUCAUUGCUUUUACUCUAGCAACCAGGUGGUUCCGUCGUAGCCUGGUGAAGCUUCCCAAGCCAUUUGACAAGCUAACUGGCUUCAAUGCCUUCUGGUACUCCCAUCAUCUGUUCAUCAUUGUAUACAUAUCACUUGUUAUUCAUGGAGAGCGUCUAUACCUUAUCCUGGAUUGGUACAAAAGAACGACAUGGAUGUAUCUUGCAGUCCCUGUUGGGUUAUAUGUAGGGGAGAGGACUCUGAGGUUCUUCAGGUCUGGCAGUUACUCUGUCCGGAUAUUGAAGGUGGCCAUAUAUCCUGGUAAUGUUUUGACAUUGCAAAUGUCUAAGCCACCGACAUUCCGUUACAAGAGCGGGCAGUAUAUGUUUGUUCAAUGUCCAGCUGUUUCACCAUUUGAAUGGCAUCCCUUCUCGAUAACUUCAGCACCCGGGGAUGAUUUUCUCAGUAUCCAUGUCCGACAACUUGGUGACUGGACGCGAGAGCUCAAGCGUGUAUUCUCCGCAGCUUGUGAGCCACCUAUGAAUGGGAAAAGUGGCCUCCUUAGAGCAGAUGAGAACACCAAAAAAACUUUCCCAAAACUUUUGAUUGAUGGACCGUAUGGUUCUCCUGCACAAGACUAUAGCAAGUAUGAUGUUUUACUACUUGUUGGGUUAGGAAUUGGUGCAACUCCUUUCAUCAGCAUAUUGAAAGAUCUGAUUAACAACAUCAUCAAAAUGGAGGAAGAGGAUGAAGCCUCAACUGAUCUUUACCCACCAAUCGGACCCAGUAAGGCAUCUGUUGACCUUGACACCCUUAUGAGGAUUACGUCAAAACCAAAGAGGGUUUUUAAGACAACAAAUGCUUACUUUUAUUGGGUGACACGCGAGCAAGGCUCUUUUGAUUGGUUUAAAGGAAUCAUGAAUGAGAUUGCUGAACUAGAUCAAAGGAAUAUCAUUGAGAUGCACAACUAUCUCACAAGUGUUUAUGAGGAAGGAGAUGCCCGGUCAGCACUCAUCACAAUGCUGCAAGCUCUCAACCAUGCCAAGAACGGCGUCGAUGUAGUGUCUGGAACUCGAGUGCGGACACAUUUUGCAAGACCAAAUUUUAAGAGGGUGCUGUCUAAGGUAGCCUCCAAGCAUCCUUAUGCCAAGAUAGGAGUGUUCUAUUGCGGAGCUCCGGUUCUGGCGCAGGAACUAAGCAACCUUUGCCAUGAGUUCAAUGGCAAAUGCACGACAAAAUUUGAAUUCCACAAGGAGCAUUUCUGA